AUGAAGCUAAAAAAGUCCAGGAGAGAUCAAAUAAGUGGAACUUGAGUUUAGAUUAAUUUAUUUUUACUAUUAGGGCCAGGAACAAAACUUCAAGCUCAACAUGUCUUCAUGAGUGUGAAUUCACUUACAAACACACUGCAUGGGCGUGGCUGACCUACUUUUGGAUUCCCGCCAGCUCACCUGCUCACCUGCUCACCUGUGCCUGAUCAGCCAAUCAACCACACCCUAUAUGAACGCCGGUCUUUCCCUCCGCUUUUCUACAGAUCGUCAGUUCGCUUAGAUGAUCCUGGACACUGUCCCUGGUUCCCCCUGGAUCUGUUCGUUGUUCCAGUUCUGGAUUAUCUUCCCGCCUGCUCCAACAUUAGAGACUUUAUCAGUCGUUACAACAAACUGACUGGUUAAAUCCUACUUCUGCUCCUGAGUUUGUGUCCCACAUUUGGGUCCAACUAACAAUCUGUAUAAAUCGUAACAUGUUCUGCAAGUAUGGAGUAAUUUGGGCCAUGAAUGUCUCUAGAGGAAUGUUAUGAUACUGAAAGAAAUACCAUAAAUAAGCAUUUACAUACACUCCCUCACGCCGUAUAGCAUGUAAAGUCUCAUAGUAGCUAAAAGUAAAGGUCACAUAAACUCACUUUGAAGUU